rnacentral:rRNA from 1 species
CUGCAUGGCUGUCGUCAGCUCGUGUCGUGAGAUGUUGGGUUAAGUCCCGCAACGAGCGCAACCCUUGUCAUCAGUUGCCGCAUUGAGUUGGGCACUCUGAUGAGACUGCCGGUGACAAACCGGAGGAAGGUGGGGAUGACGUCAAGUCCUCAUGGCCCUUAUAGGUGGGGCUACACACGUCAUACAAUGGCCGGUACAGAGGGCAAGCCAACCCGCGAGGGGGAGCCAAUCCAAAAAAGCCGGUCGUAGUCCGGAUCGCAGUCUGCAACUCGACUGCGUGAAGUCGGAAUCGCUAGUAAUCGCGGAUCAGAACGCCGCGGUGAAUACGUUCCCGGGUCUUGUACACACCGCCCGUCACACCAUGGGAGCGGGUUCUGCCAGAAGUAGUUAGCCUAACCGCAAGG